AGAGUUUGAUCAUGGCUCAGGACGAACGCUGGCGGCGUGCCUAAUACAUGCAAGUCGAACGGUCUUUUCUAUGGAAGCUUGCUUCCACUGAGAAGAUAGUGGCGAACGGGUGAGUAACACGUGGGUAACCUGCCCAUAAGAGGGGGAUAACAUCCGGAAACGGGUGCUAAUACCGCAUAGUUUUCUUGAUCGCAUGAUCGGGAAAGGAAAGACGGCCUUUGUGCUGUCGCUUAUGGAUGGACCCGCGGCGUAUUAGUUAGUUGGUGAGGUAACGGCUCACCAAGACGAUGAUACGUAGCCGACCUGAGAGGGUGAUCGGCCACAUUGGGACUGAGACACGGCCCAAACUCCUACGGGAGGCAGCAGUAGGGAAUCUUCCGCAAUGGACGAAAGUCUGACGGAGCAACGCCGCGUGAGUGAAGAAGGUUUUCGGAUCGUAAAACUCUGUUGUCAGAGAAGAACAAGUUGGAGAGUAACUGCUCCAGCCUUGACGGUAUCUGACCAGAAAGCCACGGCUAACUACGUGCCAGCAGCCGCGGUAAUACGUAGGUGGCAAGCGUUGUCCGGAUUUAUUGGGCGUAAAGCGAGCGCAGGCGGUUCCUUAAGUCUGAUGUGAAAGCCCACGGCUCAACCGUGGAAGGUCAUUGGAAACUGGGGAACUUGAGUGCAGAAGAGGAGAGUGGAAUUCCAUGUGUAGCGGUGAAAUGCGUAGAUAUAUGGAGGAACACCAGUGGCGAAGGCGACUCUCUGGUCUGUAACUGACGCUGAGGCUCGAAAGCGUGGGGAGCAAACAGGAUUAGAUACCCUGGUAGUCCACGCCGUAAACGAUGAGUGCUAAGUGUUGGAGGGUUUCCACCCUUCAGUGCUGCAGCUAACGCAUUAAGCACUCCGCCUGGGGAGUACGGCCGCAAGGCUGAAACUCAAAUGAAUUGACGG
rnacentral:rRNA from 1 species